AAAAUGCAGAUUAUUUAUAACAUGUAUAUGCAAAAAUUUGUUGCUAAUUGUCUUCUAGUAAUCAGCAAACAAAAGCAGCAACAAAACACGUUUUAUUUGUCAUUCUACGUGUGUGUAAAAAAUACAAAUCUUUAUCAGAUUUCAAUUAUUGAACAUGAAGUCAUUACGAAUCAGUUCGACAAUAUCGAUAAAUGCGUUCUUUCAUUCUGCAUAUAAAACCGCGAUGAUGUAACAAAAUCCCCAAGAGAGCCUAUACACCUAGUGUCGUUCAAAGCAUAAAACGUUUUGCACACGAAGCGAUGCAAAAGUCAAAGAGAAAUAAAAUGAAUGAAACAUGCGUCUUUCAGCAGCGGCUUCCAUUCGCAAUAAAUAAACUACCGUAGCAUAUACCUGUAGUGAAAAAGGUAAGUGAAAUACUUGAACGAAUAUGUAUAUACAUAUAUAUUCAUAUGUGUAUAAUAUAUAUAUAUACAUAUGUAUGUAUACCUAACGUAAAAGCGAAGAAAAAGAGGCUUUUCCGUAACGUUAUCUGAUUUGAAACUCCGGUCUUUUUUCAAAUUUCGUAGAAAUAAAUCAGGUACGCGUUUACAUUCACCGCGACUGAAAAAGGAGGGACAAUUUUUAUAUUUUAUACACCGAUUGCGUUUAAUUUCAUUCACGGUUAUAUUAACGUAGAUUUAUUGCUUUUUCGUAUAUUUGGAUCUUAUUUUAAGUAUCAGGUGAAAAAAUGUCCUUUCAACUGAGCUUUAAUAACAUAAUUUAAAAAAGAACAAAAAUAUAUGGUAGGUAUAAUACUGAAUAGAAUUCUGGUGUGAUAAAAAAAACAAAACAAAAAAGAAAAGAGAGAGAAAAACUGCCAAGAAAAAUAUGUCCACGUUCGUCCCAUCUUCGGAUAUUACACACCGUUAUAUAGGUAUACAACACGUGUUACAUUUUGAGAGGAAAACGGUUUGCGACAGAGGGACUAAAAUCACACGUCGAUGUACCUUAACUUCACGUUUGUUAUUCCAGGAGGCCGAUGAACGGACUUCCUGUCGUUGUAAUUCUAAACUCUCACUUUCUAUUUUUGUCUUUCGCGUGAGAAAAAUAUAACGGAAAGAAUAUCCAGUCCUGAAAAAAAUCGGAGAACGUAUAUUAAAAUAAAGAAGAGAUUUUAUUUUUGAAAUUUUACACUAAUUUUCAACGUGAAUGAUUAUUCUAUUUAUUAUUGCAAUUAAAACGAAACAAACGGUAUCAAAUUUCACGUUCUUCGAUGCAACUUUACCUUCUGAAAAAAUUCAACUACCGGUUUAAAAUUUAAUUUAUCAAUCCUUUAACUAUAUAAUAUCGUACCCAAGUCUGAGGCACGCGUUUCACGAUUCGUCCCAGUCGAGAUGAGUGAUUUGAAUAAAACGAUCUGUUUUAUCCUGUCAAGAAAGGUGUUUGAAUAUUGAAAAACCGUAAUAGAAUAUUGAACAAAUGGGAAUAUAGUGGUGUGGUUGUAGAAACUCCCCAAGCUUCAGUACGAAAAAAAAAUUUGAUAGGAAAGAAAAAUCAACUCUGAUUCACAACUAACCCCUGUGCAACUGUCGGCACGAUUAAUCGAUGCAGUAUCAAUGAAAGACGCCACUUUAUCGAUAGUGACGUAUUAUUAUAAACAUAUACUUAACAGUAAGUAAGUGACAUGCGCACGACACGUCGUAUAUUUCGUUUUAUUUCUCAUUUUAUUAAGUGCUUGUGCAUCUCUCUCUCUAGUACGUUAGCUUCGCGAUAGAAAGAAACGGAACGACAAAAAAGAAAAAAAAAAAAAAAAAGGAGAGCAAAGAAAGAAAACUACACUCGAAAAAUCCAUUUCUUCGCUCAUUAUUAUUAUUAUACCUAAUUGACAACACAACGCGCGCUGAGGAAUAAAAAUUUGAUCAAGUCAUACCGUUUACAUAUAUACGGUACGUACGGUGUUAAUCGACGAAGGGAGAAAAUUUUCCUAGACUGAAAAGAGUUGAAGCUGAAAAAUUUUUAGAAUUAAAAAAAAAAAAAAAUGAAAUGAAAUGAAAUGAAAUGAAAUGAAAUCAAUAAAUGAAUCCCCGUUACGCGGAUGCCUGUACUAUUAAUCCGUUGGCCUGUUCGGUCCAUCGUCUUUAAACUGGUGUUAGAUUACUGUUUAGAAGUUGAUAGUGGAUAGAUAAUAUAUUUUUGUACAUUCGCAUAAAUGGGACGCUUAAGUAAUCAUUGUAAUUAUAAUAUUAAAUCGUAUUGACGAGACGAAACGAAGGAAAAAGUAAGAGUAAAAGAAAAGGAGAAAAAGAGAGAAAAAAAAAGAAAAAAAAAAUUGAAAGUAAAGUUAAGGAAUAAAGAAAGGAUGGAGGAAUGAAAGCAAAACGAAAAACAAGACGUCCGCGAUACAACUAUUAUUAUCAUUAUACCUAUUAUAAAUACACUUAUAAUUAUACAUACAUAUAUAUAUAUAUAUAUGUGUGUGUAUAUAUAUAUAUAUAUACACACACGCGCACAUAUAUACGAAUGCGACCAGCUCUUUAUACUUACCUAUAAUAAGGUUGAAUCGCUUGCACAUAUUGUUAGAGAAGGACGAGACGAUGGGAAAAGUUUUAGCUCGACAACACUGAUUGAGAUGAAGAAAGGGUUAAAGGAGAAAGGAGCAUGAGAAGGAAAAGAAGAGGGAAGCGGGAGACGAAAAAAUUAGGGCUGCGUAUUAAGGACAAUGGAAAUAUUUUAAAUUUAAGAAUAGAAUUGUUGAUCGGUGAACAGGAAAUUGCAAUAUAGUUUCUUGCGGCCAUAUUAUACGAUUUCAACAUUAAUCUGUAUAAUAAUCAACUGAUAAUAUUGCGAUAAUAUUAGUUAUUGAUAUAUAUAUAUACAUAAAUCUAUAUAUAUAUAUAUAUAUAUAUAUAUAUGAGAUAUGAUAUACUGUAUGAUAAUAAUAAUAAUUAUUAUUAUUGAAUGUAUUUGUCAAAUGUUUGUAUUUUUUAAUUAACUGCAUUUUGCUCAUGUUAGAUGAUUGAAUUGAAUUGACGGUAAUUCGUGUUGUUGAAUUGAGUAUUGAAAAAGUAACGAGAAAAAAAAAAUGUAAAAAAAAUAAAAAAACGUACUAUCAAUUAAUUACGUAUUUGGAAUUGUCGAGAUUUCCUCUGCAAUCGAUUAUUAAACGUUCAAUGAUUCGUUUCGUUUGUAUAAAAAAAAAAAAAAAAAAAAAAAAAAAGAAACCGAAGGUACCUAAACAAAAAAGAAAAAAAUAAGUGAAAAACCCAAUAUCUUGCCCAAAACGCCCAACCCUGUGUAAUAUUAUAGAACGAACUGUGAUGUUUGAAAUUACGUUUUCCCGAAAUUGAGCAAAAAGAAAGAAGUAGAAAAAAAACGGAUCGAUGAACAUCAUACGAGUUCAAAAAUUUUUUCGAAUACACAUUUUCAAAACAUAUAUUUUAUUUGACGAGAAAGAUCUGAUAAAAAAUCUGUUCACUUAUGUUCCUUCGAGAAGUAAAAAAAAAAUUAAGAGUCCUCGAAAUCCACAAAAGAAAAGCUGAUAUUCCUGUAAGAAAAUGUGGAAAUUGAAUAGUUCGUAAGACAAAAAGUUAUAGAUAUGAUACAUGGCGGUAAAAAAUUAAAAAAAAUAAAAAAUACAUGAAACAAAAAACGAAAAUAGAGUGAAAACGUACCGAUAAGUGAACGUUUCAGAUUCAUUCGAUAAAUUCAAGAUACCGAAAGAUGAAAUACUUUUAAUCCAUGCACGCAAAUGUUAAAGAUAAAUUUCAAAGUAAAAACAAAAUACGCAUUGAAGUUGAAAUAUAAAUAAAAACCUGCAACCAUAAAACACUUAUUAUUAUACAGAAUUCACUUACUAAUGUCAGAACCAAAGUUAGAAGAAAAAACAAGAAAAAAAAAACAAAAAAAACGAAAGAAUCGCUAAUAAAGUAAAUGAAAAAUUAGAUAUAUUCAAAGAGAACAAACAAAUUAUGAAAUAUUUGAGAUGUUUAUUGAUGCAAUGUUGUUAAGUCUAGUCUUCUGCGCAGACGUCGUAUUUAACCGUCUUAACUCAUACAUACAUACGUACAUAUAAUAUUAUAAUAGAAGCUAUAUUACCGCACGCACUAAAACUGUAAUAUUAAAAUUCAUAUGCGAGAUAAAAGAUACCUACUGCAUAACGAUAAAUAUUAUCAUACUCAAAUGAAUGACUCAAAACUAAUUAGCAUUACGAUAACGGUAUACAAAUAAUAAUAAUAAUAAUAAUAACAAUAAUACUAAUGAUUAAUUAAUAAUAUUGAUUACUAAUCAUUUAAUAUCGUAACAUGUGAAUGUGUUAGCUAGGUCUCCUUGAAAUGAACUGUAACUGAACACCAAAUGCUGUAACGUAUUCCUUGUAACAAUUUAACAAUUUAUAUUAAUUAAAUUCCGUAAUACUAUAUAAAGAUAUAUAUUAUACCUAUCACUUGUAACGCGAUUAUAAAUUGACCUUACUACACGCACAUACCUGCAUGAGUAAAUACACAUAUUUGGGAAAUCAGUGAAAUAAACAAUUAUUAUACACAUUCUUCGUUCAUAGGUAUUAAUUACGAUUCGAAUAAUCGAUCACACUUGAAACAAUUGCAGAUAUCAAUUAAGAUCCGUAGCUAAUGUUACGCUCGUAUAUAAAAUAAAUAUCUGGAACACCGAUUGAUUACCUGACUUAGAUCGGUCCUGAACAAAAUUUGAAUCAACCCACGAACCGUUCGAAACUUAUUGAUUAAUACAAUAUUAUCGCAGAGUUUUUGGAAAAUUUCGACAGUUUUUUAAAGUAUUAAUAUCGUUUAUAAAUAUUUUUACAACAGUCCCUGGAAAACUGAUCGCACGUCGAUGAUUUCUUUUUUCUUUUCAUUCUAGCUCUUUCGCCGUCGUAAAAUUUCAAGUCUCGUAGUACACACGAAUGAAUUUGACUUGUCGUAUAAAAUUCCUGCCGAAAACAUGACGACAUUAUUGCGUCGUUGUAUGAACCGUAAAAAGAUUUAAUAAUAAUAAUAAUAAUAAUAAUAUGAAAAUAUAUAUUCGCAUUUACUGUAAUUAUGUAUAUAUAUUACCUAUACACGCAUAUGUUACGCAUAUAAUAUAUUUGCCAAUUUUUCUAUUUAACCGCAAAAACACGAUUUAUAUUAAUUUAUCGCAGUAUUAUUACAUUAUACCUAAUCAUUAUGCAUAUAAAUGCGCGUCCAUAAAUUGAAUGAAAUACAUAUAAUUGCGGGUAUGUACAUUUAAUUUUAUAUGCAUAACGAUUGUCAAGGCGAAAGGAUGAAACUUUUUAUAGAUAAGUUGUACACUUGAACCUAUUAGAUUCGUUGAUAAUUUUUACCCUAAAUUUAGUCCGACUCCGUCGAUGUCUGUAUACCACCCACCCUAUUAUCGAAAUCAGUGUAACUUUUUAAUGUUCAUCGUGAUACGAAUUACGAUGAUUAACAUCGUAUUUUUCAGCGCUUUUGCAAUGUUCGUAAAGUUACGUAUAUGUACGUAAUAUGUAGGUACAUGGAAUGGCCUGAUAGUUUUUGAACGACUGAAAUUUCGCUACUUGUUGCAUUUGUAUUUGUUUUUUAAUUUAUUUAUUUAUUUCUUUUUUCCCCACGUUUUUCACAAAGCAACAAUUCAUCGAUACAACAUCACUCUGCGUUGUGCUUUUUGAUUUAUCGUUCGUGUUACGGUUAUCGAGUAAUAUUUUCACAUUUCAUAACGACGAUGAACGUUUUUGCAACGCCGGAAGAAAUUCCAAACGAAAGCUGUAUAAUCACUGAAAUAUAUACGGUUGAGGGAUGGAAAUAAUCGCUAUAAAAAUUUUGCCGGGAAUUUCCGGUUUUUAUCUGACCCUCCUUGAAAUAUUUAAACAAAGGAUGAAAGUAUUAUUUCUGCGCAGAAUUUUUAAAGAAUCGUUCUACGGUCGGAUACUUAUUUCCGGUGAAUUUAUUUACGCUCGGAAAAUAUUCCGGUUUCAAUAACGAAAGAAACUAAUAAAAAUUACGUUUUUACGUAACGUAAUGUCGAGGUAUUGAGAAAGCUAACAACAAGGUUUAAAGAUGUAAUAAAUAUUAUUUCAUUAGCUUUACAUAAAAAAAUUUCCUUGUUAAUAUUUUUUCCGGCCAUUCAUCGGGAAUUUCAACUCGUUAUCUGACAAAUUAUAAAUCAAUGCACAACGUGAUGUGAAAAUUAUACAAUCGUCGCGCGAGGUUUUACCAUAUGAUAAUGCAGUUGCGUCGGUAUAAUUUGUUUGAAAUUGAACUGAAUUAUUUGGCGAUUGACAGGAAAACAGAAAAAAAACUACGAUCGUGCACAAACUAUCCACAUAUAUGCUUGUAAUUGUAAUUGAAGACACACGCAUAAUGUAAAAUAAUAUACUCGUAACAUGAUUAUUGAUAUAGGCGUAAAAAUAAUCGUAUAAUAGCAUAUUGAAUAACAUUACGGCAUGACGAUAACACGAUGAUAGGUGAUAAGCGAACGACGAUGAGAUAAGGUAAUCCUAUAUUUAUCAUAUAGGAAUGUUUUUGUUAAUUUGUUAUCGAAAGAGCCCCCCCGAAUCCUUGGGCUCUUGGUAUGAUAAUUUUAUUUUUUCUAUAACGCAUAAUAAUAUUAUUAAUAAUAGUAAUAAUAAUAAUAAUAAUAAUAAUAUAUAUGAAGUUAUACAUGCAUACCUUAUAUUACCGUUUAUAACCGGCCGAGGCGCGACCCUAAACGACGAGGUGCGAAAUUGAAAUACACGCGAUGUAUAUUCGCGGUCUUGAAAGAAACGAUUACGUCGAGUUUUAAAUUAUUUACCGUCGAGCGUGUUUCAUGGGUAUAUAAAAUUAAUAGCGUGUAUAUAUACGGCUAUUUAUUCGGUAGUGUUUCUAUAAGUUAAUCGUGAAUCAUCUCAUCGUACGAAAAUAAACCGGUGUGUAUUGUUCGUUUAAAUAAUAUGCGGAAUAGCGAUAGAUUUUAAGAUAUUCCGUGAACGGUAUCUCUGAACUCAUUGUUUUAACUGUUGACUCACCGUUUCACUUGAGUUUCGUGUAUACGUUAAAAUUGAAUUAGGUAAUAUCGUAUUUUGUCUUCUCGGUAGAUUAGGCGGCAGAAUUAUACAGUUAUUGAAAAAUAAUUUUGCCGCAAGCAAGUGUGUAGCUUAGCAAUAGUGAACGUAGCGCAUAGUGAAAAAUCCGGAUAAAUCCGGUUCGUGGAUAAAGUGAUGUAUUUACGAAGCUUGGCUAGAUUGAUAGUGAAGUAAAAAAAAAAAAAAGAAAUAAAAAAAAAAAAAUAAUCUCCUCCGUAAAACUUUGUAUCGAUACUGUGUAACUCGCAGCUUCUCUCUAUCUCGUGUAAUCGUAAUUCGAAGCGAUAAAUUUAUUUCCGCAAGCUUUCAUGAUCAUAUCGUUGUCGAGAUGCUUGCAAUUGUGUUUUAUGCAAAAACAAUUCGUCCGAGUUCGAUGAAUUGUUGGAAAACAUUUCAUUUUACAUCGAAAUUGCCAAACCGAAUUUGGAUAUUUCAAAUACUGGUUAGAAAAAAAAAAAAAAAGAAAAAAAAAACAAAGCUUUGCAGACUCGACGGGGACCAGCUUUUAAAUUAUCCAUAUUAUUGGGGUAUAACGUUGAUACUUAUUAUGCUAUAAUGUCGGAAUGAAGAAUUUUCAUUGCGGUGAACGAACCCUGAUCGCUAAAAAUCGCUUUCAAAUAUACGAAAUACGAGAUAGAAAUUCCAUUGCUUAUAACUACGUUUAACAUAAUAUAUGAUAUAUAUAUAUAUAGAAUACGCAUUAUUCUAUUAUUACACGAUGCGUUACAUAUUGCAUAUUCUUUUCAGCAGUGAAAGAGAUAGACGGAAAAAAAACAAAAAACCAAAAAAAAAAAAAAAACCAAACGAAAAAACACUUUUUAAACGUCUCACCUUAUGAUAAAUUAUUCUACCGCCCCUCUAAGACUGAACUGUUUUUUCUUAAAUUUAAUAUCGAUACCUCGUGUAUAAUGAACAAACCGUGUAUUAUAUUUAAUCACUUUUUUGUACACACUUUUCGAUCCCACACGAUUUACGAACGCGCCGCGUAUCAGCGGUGAAAGGCUUGAUCAGUUAUUUGAAAAACACUCCGAAGAGCCUGAAUGGGCCAAUGGCCGUAAUAACGAUUCCACGCAAAAUCGCGAUUGUCGUUCACGUACGUGUUCGCAACUUAUCGGCCGUCAGCCGAACUCCGAUUUGUGCGAACGUGAACGGAAAACUUGAAUGAAAGAAAAAACAAAAAAACUAAAAACAAUUUCUUGAAUUCUGCAACAUUGAACUCUUGAAUGCAAAUUUUACCCAGACUUUGGAAAUCACACGCGAUUAACCUUCAAUUUGUAUGUUAACUAUGUAAUAUUAUACUGUAAUAUCCAGUGAUGUGUAUAUUUAAAAUGAACAAAAAUAAUAAAGUUGAAAUUAAUAUGUAAGUAUCGAUUAAUGUUCAUAAUACGUCUGAAACCGGCGUAAAGACCUCGGUUCAAAACAAUCACAUAUAUGUUGACGCACCAAUUACAUAUUGACGAAUGAUCGAAAAUGAAUAAAAAAUAGACGAAAAAUCCAAAAAAAAAAGAUAAGUUAUGACAAUUAUAAUAAUAAUAAUAAUAAUAAUAAUAAUAAUAAUAAUAAUAAUAAUAAUAAUAAUAAUAAUAAUCGAAAAAGGACAAAGAAAAUCCUUAAAAUCUGUUAUCCACGUUUUUAUCAAGUUGAAAAUAAAUCGAAGCGUUGAAAAAUCCAAUGGGGAAAAAAAACAUGCCAGAAGAGUUGAUUUUUGUAUCGUGUAAGGAAAAAAAAAUUAAUAUUAGUCAUAUUCGUAAUAACAUUAAUAACAGUAACAAUGAUAAAGAUAACAAUAAUAGUUAUAAUCCUUCUACCUUUGUAAUCGUAAUAAUAACGAUCAUGAACAUGUAUCGUGUAAGAUUGAUUGAUCGAAUAAUAAUAAUAAUAACAAUAAUAAUAAGAAUAAGAAUAAUAAGAAUAAUAAGAAUAACAAUAACAACAACAACAACAACAAUAACAAUAAUAACGAUAACAAUAAUAAUUAUAAUAAUAUAAAGUGUUGCGUAGAUGUUAAGAAGAUCGUAAUUAAUAGUUAUGGAACGGGGAAAAAAAAAUCGACAAAAUGACAAAUACUUUGAAGAUUGCACCCUCGCACACAUAGCUCUGAAAAAAUUGCUGUCCCGCACGCGUUUCGUCCCUUAUGAAAUACCCGUAUAACCGCUGUAUAGAAACUCUAGUGCAAAAAUUUUUGUCCUUAAAAUAGUCAGCGUGUCCAAGGAUGAAAAAAAAAACCGAAAAAAAAACAAUUACGGGCGAAAAAAAAUUUGAACAAGUUUCCAUGAACAAUAAAUUUACUGGUUAAGGGACCGAACUGUUUUUGUAUGAGAAGUAGAACAGAAUUGAGAGGAGCGCAGACAGAAAGAAAAAACCUUUGAAAAGGUUGUAAUAUUUUAUUCAUGGACAAUUUAGCUGUACCAAUUUAUUUUUUCUUCCUUUCCUGGGAGAGCAGCAUUUAAAAAUCGAAUCUAAAGUCGGAUCGUCGAAAAGAAAAGGAGAAACUUGAAAUACAUACAUACAUACAAUACGAGAUGUAUAUAUAUAAUAUAUAUAUAUACACAUAUAAACGAGUACAUAAAUAAAUAAAUGAACAUUCCGCGAUACAUUACAUGUUACUAAUCCAAUUAUUAUGAUUAGCAAAUUACUAUAUGAGUAUACAUGUAUAUAUAAAUAUAUAUAUAUGCAUGUAUAUGUAUACAUACCAACAAUUAACUUAUUCUAGCUCUAUUCUAUCUCUAUAUUCUUCUACUACUGAUUAUAUUUUUCUAUUAUAUUUGUACGUUGACUUAUACUUACUAUCUAUACAAUUACAUUCUAACGAACUAUGAUAAAUAUUGCGCGCUUGAUAUUCAAACACGAGGUGAAACAAAAAGAAAAAUAAGAAUAAAAUAAUAAGUAUAGGUGAAAAGAAAACCGAUUAAAUAAUGAUAGAACAGAAGGCAAACAAAGAAAACCAAACACGAUAACUCGUGACGAGUAAAGUGAUGACGAUUUGAUAUAGAUUUGAAAAAUUGAGGUUUAUUAAUUAGGGUUUCGUUACGUUUCAAGAUUUACGUUGUGUUGUGCAUUUUAAUCUCUAUAUUCUCUACUACCAUGUAACACGUAACCUGUCUUUCUAUGUACGAAUUGUAUACAUAUACACGUACACGUACACACGUUCCUAUAUGUAUACAAUUAAUAUGAAUAUUAUAAUUAUACGUACAGAAUUAUUCCAAUAUACAAUCAAUGUAUUCUUUAAGUAUUUAUAUUAUAUUUAUAAUACUGUAUCAUGCACAAAUUAAUAACGAAUUUACCAGGCCGUUUAGAGCUGGAAACUGGUUUCAACGAUAAAAUCAUUUAUUAAUUAGACGUUAGAUAUUAUAUUUAUUUGUUUCAACGGUGUCUGUUUUUUUUCAGAUAAUAAUAAUGAUGAUAAUAAAAAUCAGAAAAAUCAUUGGGAAAUCAAUACGAAAAAUUGUGACAAUUGAAUCCGUUUUCAGCAUUGACGCACCAAUUUAGCGGAACAGGAAGAGAGCUAAAAAAAAAAAAAAAACAAAGAUAGAAAAGAACAAACGUUUGUAAAUAUAUUGACAGUGAUUAUACGUGUUAUACACGAGUAACAAUAGUCCAUCAGUCGUAUGAUAAU